rnacentral:misc_RNA from 1 species
GAUGAAGAACGUAGCGAAAUGCGAUAAGUAAUGUGAACUGCAGAAUUCAGUGAAUCAUCGAAUCUUUGAACGCACAUUGCGCCCGCCAGUAUUCUGGCGGGCAUGCCUGUUCGAGCGUCAUUUCAACCAUCAAGCCCCCGGCUUGUGUUGGGGACCUGCGGCUGCCGCAGGCCCUGAAAACCAGUGGCGGGCUCGCUAGUCACUCCGAGCGUAGUAAUACAUCUCGCUCAGGGCGUGCUGCGGGUUCCGGCCGUUAAAAAGCCUUAUUUACCCAAGGUUGACCUCGGAUCAGGUAGGAAGACCCGCUGAACUUAAGCAUAUCAAUAAGCGGAGGA